UAUGUAUGUAGAAUUUCAAGUUUAGUUUGGUCAAAGUCCCUGCAAUUUGUUCGGUCGACUUUGUUUCACUCGAUUUCAUCCUCAUCUUUCUUUAAUUUCACUUUAAUUGAUUCAUCCUCAAAUUCAGUUAUAGGAUCAAAGCUAUAGGAUCUGAUUUUGAAAAAUGUAGAUGUGAAGUCUAUAAUUGGGCUGAUUUUUGUGCGAUGUCGGCGUCAAGUAUUUCAGGGCACCUAUGGAAGCAAUGAUGAGGAUGGAGAAGAUUCCACUUCUAUAAGGGUGGCUCGACUUUUUUGUGCGUACUAGGUUAUAGCUAUUGGUUCAUAUGGUGAUCCCUUUUUGUUUUGGAACAUGUUAGUUUAUGUUUAAUAGUGUAAGUCUUUGAUGAUAUCAUGUAUAGAUAUUGAAUUAUUGAUGAGGUUAAUAACUUAUUUUGGUUUGGUGAAAUGAUAAACAGUACUUAUGUUGUGACUUA